AGUGAACGCUGGCGGUAGGCCUAACACAUGCAAGUCGAACGGCAGCACAGUAAGAGCUUGCUCUUACGGGUGGCGAGUGGCGGACGGGUGAGGAAUACAUCGGAAUCUACUUUUUCGUGGGGGAUAACGUAGGGAAACUUACGCUAAUACCGCAUACGACCUACGGGUGAAAGCAGGGGAUCUUCGGACCUUGUGCGAUUGAAUGAGCCGAUGUCGGAUUAGCUAGUUGGCGGGGGAAAGGCCCACCAAGGCGGCGAUCCGUAGCUGGUCUGAGAGGAUGAUCAGCCACACUGGAACUGAGACACGGUCCAGACUCCUACGGGAGGCAGCAGUGGGGAAUAUUGGACAAUGGGCGCAAGCCUGAUCCAGCCAUACCGCGUGGGUGAAGAAGGCCUUCGGGUUGUAAAGCCCUUUUGUUGGGAAAGAAAAGCAGCAGGUUAAUACCCCGCUGUUCUGACGGUACCCAAAGAAUAAGCACCGGCUAACUUCGUG
rnacentral:rRNA from 1 species